GGGUUGGUAGCUCAGUUGGUAGAGCAGCGGACUUUUAAUCCGUUUGUCGCGGGUUCGACCCCCGCCCGACCCA
rnacentral:tRNA from 1 species